UUUGAAGCACAGAACAAGUCUUCAUCAGACACAGAAUUUGCUGGCACCUGGAUUUUGGACUUUCCAGUCUUAUGAACUGAUUAGCUCAAAUUCUUCUUGGAAGGGCUUGCAAGGUUUGCAGGAGGGUGCACAGUCGAUCUGGGGAGAGAAGUAAACACAAGCAAUGAAGAUAGUGGAGUGGCCUGGACGGGAAGCUUCUUUUACAAAGGAAGGAUGACAAGAGCCCACAGUUCUUAUUGUGUAGGUAAAAUGAGCCAGGGGCCAUGCCAACCGCAUCACAUGGAUUAUCACCUUGGAUUUUAACAGUAAGCCAAAGUAACAGGGAACCGUUGAAUGGCUCUAAGAAGAGGAACAACAUGAUUUGACUUAGGUUUUUGAGGGAUCUCUCCAGCUACAGAUUGAAGAAUGAUUGUAAAGAGGGUGAGUGGAAACAGGAGGCCUGGUUCAUCCUCUCAACUCUCUAUUUGUGUCCAGUCAAAAUUCGCAAUGCCAACACAAUAGUUUCUAGUCCCAUGAUCCACUGAGAAAAACAUGGAUUCUUUAAAAGUAAGUGGCAAAGUACCCCUGAUUUUGAAACAUGUAUGGUCGUGAUAUCAAGAGUGACAACCUGGGCAAAAGAGAGCCAUUGCAAAGAAGAAAGGCCUUUAGGGAAAUGGAGCAGAAAGAGGAAGCAGUCAUCACACUUUAUAGAAACUUUGUCAUCUUUGAAGAGUCUGAAAGUCUCUGUUUACCCUGCUUCUCCAGCCUGAGUUCCUUUUUUUUCUCCAUUCUGCUUGUUGAACUCCUGCCAAACUCCGAUUUUGACAUCAAAGCCCACCUUGAAUGCUGCUUGUCGCUAAAGCCAUCGCUGGCAUUUCCAGACAUUGUCAAUAUCUACUGGACUAAAGAAAUUCUCUACUAAUCAGAAAAGGAAUUGGUCUGUAUUGAAGCUGGAAAGAAAAUCAGAGGAGCCAAUGCUGUCAGAGUGCAUCCAAGGACCAUUUAAAGAUGUCCUGGCCGGAGGUCUGGGCUGUCAGGUCCUGCCAGCAGAAUGAAGAGGACAUGGAGGCAUUUUCAGAUGAAGAGAAACUAACAGGAUUUUUCAGCAGACUUACUCUAAAUGAAUGGCUACAGGAAAUACUAUAAAAAUAAAGGAAAUGAUAAAAGAAGAAACUUUGUAACAUCAAGAAAGAAGG
rnacentral:lncRNA from 1 species